rnacentral:tRNA from 1 species
CAGGGAGACAACAAAAUGUUAAAUAUUAAUUUUGUCACCUUAGGUCGAUCGGUAUCUCACAUUCUUAAACAUAUUAAGAAUUUUAUUUCCUAAGUUUUUUCUAGGUCACACCCAAAUUUUCCUGGGCCAUUAGCUCAGGUGGUUAGAGCGCACCCCUGAUAAGGGUGAGGUCCCUGGUUCAAGUCCAGGAUGGCCCAUAUCUCUAUGUUGGGGGUAUAGCUCAGUUGGUAGAGCGCCUGCUUUGCAAGCAGGAUGUCAGCGGUUCGAGUCCGCUUACCUCCACUGAUUACCACCUCUUCCAUAAUCUAUGAGAAGGAAAUGUUUUGAGUAGUGAUCAAAUUCUGAACGAAGCUAGCUUCCUAAUGAAAUCAUUAAGAUGCUGGGCUCAUUGAAUUAAUUUCAUUGUUUUCAGAGAACCUUGACAACUGCAUAGAUUAUUUUAAAGACAAUAAGCAUCUUUAAUGAUGCAGAUUUAUUAUUUGUGCGAAUGCAUUAAUAACAAUUCUAUUAAGCUGAUGCUUCAAUUUUUGAAGUUAUU